UACGAAGGGGGCUAGCGUUGCUCGGAAUCACUGGGCGUAAAGGGUGCGUAGGCGGGUCUUUAAGUCAGGGGUGAAAUCCUGGAGCUCAACUCCAGACUGCCUUUGAUACUGAAGAUCUUGAGUUCGGGAGAGGUGAGUGGAACUGCGAGUGUAGAGGUGAAAUUCGUAGAUAUUCGCAAGAACACCAGUGGCGAAGGCGGCUCACUGGCCCCGGUACUGACGCUGAGGCACGAAAGCGUGGGGAGCAAACAGG
rnacentral:rRNA from 1 species